UAAGUAAAUCAGAUAAUCGCAUACACAUUGCCGAAAGGUUGUGUCUGAGGAACGUCCGAGCUUCAUAGAGCAAAGGUGCUGGAUAACGCCCAGUCGAGGCGACUCGAAGGAAAGUGCAACAGAAAUAAACCACCUAUAACCAUAAUGAAGGGGGAGCAAUGUAAUUUUCUUCAUUAUGCAUGAUAAUAAAGGCGAGGUAACAUGAAGGCCUUUAUUAUAAGUAGGAAAGGAUGGAAAGGCGAGGUAAGAGCUCACCGUUUUUUUGGCGACAAAAAAAGCCAUGUAAACCCCACCUGAAGCAAGACCGAAUAAAAAGAUAGUUUGAAACUGCUCGUUAUAUCUUAGGUAGGUUGCUGAAAUAAAUAGGUAACUAUUUGUUUAGAUAGAUGAUUAUCAAAUACAGAACUCGGCGUAUAGAUUUGGUUAAUAG
rfam:Epulopiscium sp. SCG-B11WGA-EpuloA1 SCGB11WGA_59, whole genome shotgun sequence.